rnacentral:rRNA from 1 species
GUAAAGGGCAUGUAGGUGUCCCGAUAAGCUCUGGGUGAAAGCUCUGCGCUCAACGCGGAAAAGAAUCAGAGAACUAUCGGGAUUGAGUUCAGGAGAAGAGAGUGGAAUUCUCGGUGUAGCGGUGAAAUGCGUAGAUAUCGAGAAGAACACCAGCGGCGAAGGCGGCUCUCUAUUCUGAAACUGACACUCAAAUGCGAAAGCGUGGGUAGCGAAUGGGAUUAGAUACCCCANUAGUCCACGCUGUANACGAUGUGCACUUGGUGUAUUCCUUUUUAAGGGGUGUGCCGGANCUAACGCGUUAAGUGCACCGCCUGGGGAGUACGGCCGCAAGGCUAAAACUCAAAGGAAUUGACGGGGGCCCGCACAAGCGGUGGAGCAUGUGGUUUAAUACGACGCAACGCGUAGAACCUUACUAGGGCUUGACAUGCAGCUGCACGCCCGCUGAAAGGUGGG